UGGCGGACGGGUGAGUAAUGUCUGGGAAACUGCCCGAUGGAGGGGGAUAACUACUGGAAACGGUAGCUAAUACCGCAUAACGUCGCAAGACCAAAGAGGGGGACCUUCGGGCCUCUUGCCAUCGGAUGUGCCCAGAUGGGAUUAGCUAGUAGGUGGGGUAACGGCUCACCUAGGCGACGAUCCCUAGCUGGUCUGAGAGGAUGACCAGCCACACUGGAACUGAGACACAGUCCAG
rnacentral:rRNA from 1 species